rnacentral:misc_RNA from 1 species
GAAAAAAAAAAAAAAAAAACUAUUUUGUUUUGUCAUGAACUCUUUGAGACUAAAGAUGAAUGAAGGUGUUCUCCCCCAUCGUGCAGUUUUCAUAACAGAUAUACUACUCUGGUUGUUUGCUUAUGCUCUUACUCAAGUUUCGUAUUUCUACUUUGAUAUGAGAGUGGUUAUGCAUUUUCCAACUUUUUAUUUUAUUUUGUGAUCUUGUAUUGCAUUGAAUAGAACGGUGCUGAAAUGCUGAUCAGACGCUGUUGCUCUUUAACAAGCAGCACCCAAAUACAUUGGCAUGCUACCACUACUGUUAAGAAUGGAAAUUUAGUUAAAAACGAUACCGAAUAAAGAAUACUUAAUAUGUUAAGUGGGGAUGAUUUGAGAUAAUUCUGUGUAGACUUGCAUUUUUCCGAUGUUUUCAGCAUUGUAUGGACUGGUCUUUAUUUAGUGAAGCUACGCAACAAUGACAGCAUGGUUUCCAUGUUAAGUCUCAUCUUUCAUAGAAUAUUUUAUUUUAAUUUUUUUUGGUUUAAGGGGUGAUUUUUUUUUUUCUUGUUUUAAGGGGUGAUUGAGGGAGCAGGGAAUUUGAAUUUGACAUCUGUCAAGGGGUGACAUGCCUUUAGCCAUUAAGUUAGACUAGGUUUAUAAAAUAGGUCUUUCAUGAGAUAGAAGAUGGAGAAUGCCAAUAAUCAUGGCGAAAUUAUU